AGCGAACGCUGGCGGCAGGCUUAACACAUGCAAGUCGAGCGGGCGUAGCAAUACGUCAGCGGCAGACGGGUGAGUAACGCGUGGGAACGUACCUUUUGGUUCGGAACAACCCAGGGAAACUUGGGCUAAUACCGGAUAAGCCCUUACGGGGAAAGAUUUAUCGCCGAAAGAUCGGCCCGCGUCUGACUAGCUAGUUGGUGGGGUAAUGGCCCACCAAGGCGACGAUCAGUAGCUGGUCUGAGAGGAUGAUCAGCCACAUUGGGACUGAGACACGGCCCAAACUCCUACGGGAGGCAGCAGUGGGAAUAUUGGACAAUGGGCGCAAGCCUGAUCCAGCCAUGCCGCGUGAGUGAUGAAGGCCCUAGGGUUGUAAAGCUCUUUUGUGCGGGAAGAUAAUGACGGUACCGCAAGAAUAAGCCCC
rnacentral:rRNA from 1 species